CAGUGCGCCGGGACCGAGCGGAGCCGGAAAGAGCCGGAAAGAGCCGAAGAGGAGCCGAGAGCCGGCGAAGCGGGAGCCGGAAAGAGCCGAACGGCGGGGACGGAGCGGAGCCGAGAAGAGCCGAAGCGGAGCCGAAGCGGACCCGCCCGAGGGUCCGGCCAUGCCUUGAAGCGGCUCCUCAGACCCGUCCCGGGCUCUUCCUCCUCGUCCUCCUCAUCCUCGUCCUCCUCCUGCGGCGGGGGAGGGGCCCAUGGGCCGGGCAGGGGGCUGAGGGGGCCGGAGACGCUGAACUGGGCCGAACUGGGCCGAACUGGGCCCAGCUAGGCCGGAGAAAUCAGAACCGGGCCGAAAAGAGGCGAAGUUGUCCGGAAAGAGCCGAAGCGGGCGAGGAAUAACCGAAGUAAGGACGGAGCUGUACGGAAAGAACCGAACCGGGCCGGAAAGAACCGAACUGGGUCGGAAGUAAGCGAAGCGGGCCGGAAGUAGACGAAGGGAGCCCGGGGAGGGUCGGAAAGAACCGAACCGAGCACGAAGGGGGGCGGAAAGAGCCGAAGGUGUCCGGAAAUUGCCGAAGUGCCGCCAUGUUGCUGUCGCUGCUCCUCGGGCUCCUCGAGGUGUCGGGGGCGCUGGGCGGGUGCGUGGAGGUGGCCUCGGGCACCGAGGCCGUGCUGGGGGAGCCGUUCCGGCUGCUCUGCAUCGCCUGCAAGCGCCGCAGCGAGACCCCGGCCGAGGCCGAGAGCGAGUGGUUCUUCCGGCCCGAGGGGGCCCCCCACUUCGAGAAGAUCCUGCACUACAGCCCCGAGGAGGGCGAGUGGGUGGCUCCUGGCCCGUUCCUGGGGGUGAUCGCCUGGAACGGCUCGCGGGGCACGCGGGACCUGCAGGACCUGUCGGUGUGGCUGAAGGCCGUGGAGCGCGGCCACGCGGGGCAGUACGUGUGCCGGCUGAAACGGAACCUGACCUUCGAGGGCUACACCUACAGCCUGGCCAGGAACCAGACCCUGCGGCUGGCCGUGGUGGAGAAAGCCUGGCCAGGAACCAGACCCUGCGGCUGGCCGUGGUGGAGAAAGCGCGGCGGGACCUGGCGUCCAUCGUCUCCGAGAUCCUGAUGUACGUGCUGAUCGUGGUGCUCACGCUCUGGCUGGCCGCCGAGAUGCUCUACUGCUACCGCAAGGUGGCGGCCGCGGCCCCGCCCCCCGACAGCGCGUCGGAGUACCUGGCCAUCACCUCGGAGAGCAAGGAGAACUGCGGCGGCGUCCAGGCGGCCGAGUGACCACUGAGUGACCACUGAGUGACCACUGACCACUGAGUGACCCCUGAGUGACCCCGAGUGACCACUGAGUGACCA